UGCAUUUAGACGAGCUUGAGUUUCAGGUGGUAGGGAGUCCCAUUCAGGCUUCCAUGCACACACUGUAGAAGGACCAUAGGUUUCGGAGAGACCGUAAGUGUGGGUGACUCGGAAACCUUUCUGGGACAUUCCAGCAAGGACAGAAGGAGGUGGGGCUGCACCAGCUGUCAUUACACGAACAACAUGGGGGAGGGGCAGAAUGGUUUCCUCAGGCGGGGCAUUAACUAUGGAAUUGAGAACCACAGGUGCAGCACAGAAGUGAGUCACCCUGUACUUCGCGAUGGCCGAGUAUACGCCCUUCGCUGUUACCUGCAGAUACGAAAGAAACAAAUAGGGGCAUCAGUAAGCUUAAGCUAUGAUCAUAGAUAAAGCGCACAACUUUCGCAUCCACAUUGUUUAUAAUGGACUAAAGACUUCUCAAAGUCUGAAUCUCUGAACUGAAAUUAUGACAUACAUAAAAAUAGAACAAUGAAUCCAACACUUUAGAAUUUCUACAAAAUCACACCAAGAAACAAUAAGCUAUUAUUUAGACAAGAAAUUACCUGUCGGAGGCAUAUGUUAGUUCCACAAACAGCUGCAAGUGUCCAAGGAAAACACCAACCAUUACAAUGGAACAUGGGCAGAGUCCAUAAAUAUACAGCUCCUUCAUUCAUUUCCCAUAUAAUAGGAUUACUCAAAGCCAUUAGAUAUGCCCCUCGGUG
rnacentral:lncRNA from 1 species